rnacentral:rRNA from 1 species
GAUGAACGCUGGCGGCGUGCCUAAUACAUGCAAGUCGAGCGAACAGAUGAGGAGCUUGCUCCUCUGACGUUAGCGGCGGACGGGUGAGUAACACGUGGAUAACCUACCUAUAAGACUGGGAUAACUUCGGGAAACCGGAGCUAAUACCGGAUAAUAUAUUGAACCGCAUGGUUCAAUAGUGAAAGACGGUUUUGCUGUCACUUAUAGAUGGAUCCGCGCCGCAUUAGCUAGUUGGUAAGGUAACGGCUUACCAAGGCAACGAUGCGUAGCCGACCUGAGAGGGUGAUCGGCCACACUGGCACUGAGACACGGUCCAGACUCCUACGGGAGGCAGCAGUAGGGAAUCUUCCGCAAUGGGCGAAAGCCUGACGGAGCAACGCCGCGUGAGUGAUGAAGGUCUUCGGAUCGUAAAACUCUGUUAUUAGGGAAGAACAAAUGUGUAAGUAACUAUGCACGUCUUGACGGUACCUAAUCAGAAAGCCACGGCUAAAUACGUG